GACGAACGCUGGCGGCGUGCUUAGCACAUGCAAGUCGAACGGAAAGGCCCUGCUUUUGUGGGGUGCUCGAGUGGCGAACGGGUGAGUAACACGUGAGUAACCUGCCCUUGACUUUGGGAUAACUUCAGGAAACUGGGGCUAAUACCGGAUAGGAGCUCCUGCUGCAUGGUGGGGGUUGGAAAGUUUCGGCGGUUGGGGAUGGACUCGCGGCUUAUCAGCUUGUUGGUGGGGUAGUGGCUUACCAAGGCUUUGACGGGUAGCCGGCCUGAGAGGGUGACCGGCCACAUUGGGACUGAGAUACGGCCCAGACUCCUACGGGAGGCAGCAGUGGGGAAUAUUGCACAAUGGGCGGAAGCCUGAUGCAGCAACGCCGCGUGCGGGAUGACGGCCUUCGGGUUGUAAACCGCUUUCGCCUGUGACGAAGCGUGAGUGACGGUAAUGGGUAAAGAAGCACCGGCUAACUACGUGCCAGCAGCCGCGGUGAUACGUAGGGUGCGAGCGUUGUCCGGAUUUAUUGGGCGUAAAGGGCUCGUAGGUGGUUGAUCGCGUCGGAAGUGUAAUCUUGGGGCUUAACCCUGAGCGUGCUUUCGAUACGGGUUGACUUGAGGAAGGUAGGGGAGAAUGGAAUUCCUGGUGGAGCGGUGGAAUGCGCAGAUAUCAGGAGGAACACCAGUGGCGAAGGCGGUUCUCUGGGCCUUUCCUGACGCUGAGGAGCGAAAGCGUGGGGAGCGAACAGGCUUAGAUACCCUGGUAGUCCACGCUGUAAACGGUGGGUACUAGGUGUGGGGUCCAUUCCACGGGUUCCGUGCCGUAGCUAACGCUUUAAGUACCCCGCCUGGGGAGUACGGCCGCAAGGCUAAAACUCAAAGGAAUUGACGGGGCCCCGCACAAGCGGCGGAGCAUGCGGAUUAAUUCGAUGCAACGCGUAGAACCUUACCUGGGUUUGACAUGGAUCGGGAGUGCUCAGAGAUGGGUGUGCCUCUUUUGGGGUCGGUUCACAGGUGGUGCAUGGCUGUCGUCAGCUCGUGUCGUGAGAUGUUGGGUUAAGUCCCGCAACGAGCGCAACCCUUGUUCACUGUUGCCAGCACGUUAUGGUGGGGACUCAGUGGAGACCGCCGGGGUCAACUCGGAGGAAGGUGGGGAUGACGUCAAGUCAUCAUGCCCCUUAUGUCCAGGGCUUCACGCAUGCUACAAUGGCUGGUACAGAGAGUGGCGAGCCUGUGAGGGUGAGCGAAUCUCGGAAAGCCGGUCUCAGUUCGGAUUGGGGUCUGCAACCCGACCUCAUGAAGUCGGAGUCGCUAGUAAUCGCAGAUCAGCAACGCUGCGGUGAAUACGUUCCCGGGGCU
rnacentral:rRNA from 1 species